AGGAGGCUGGAAGAGGCUGGGAAGGAAUUCCCUGGGCCAGCUAAGACGCUCCGGCUUCCUGAGCAGUCACGGAGCUGCGACACCACCAGAGCUGGGACACCACCAGAGCUGCGAGACCACCAGAGCUGUGACACCACCAGAGCCGGGACACCACCAGAGCCGGGACACCACCAGAGCCGGGACACCACCAGAGCUCCGAGACCACCAGAGCUGCCACACCACCAGAGCUGUGACACCACCAGAGCCGUGACACCACCAGAGCCGGGACACCACCAGAGCCGGGACACCACCAGAGCCGCGAGACCACCAGAGCCGUGACACCACCAGAGCCGGGACACCACCAGAGCUGGGACACCACCAGAGCUGCGAGACCACCAGAGCUGGGACACCACCAGAGCUGCCACACCACCAGAGCUGCGACAGCACCAGAGCCGGGACACCAGCAGAGCCGGGACACCACCAGAGCCGCAACACCACCAGAGCUGCGACACCAGCAGAGCCGCGACACCAGCAGAGCCGGGACACCACCAGAGCCGUGACACCAGCAGAGCCGGGACACCACCAGAGCUGCGAGACCACCAGGGCCGGGACACCACCAGGGCCGGGACACCACCAGAGCUGCGAGACCACCAGGGCCGGGACACCACCAGAGCCGGGACACCACCAGAGCUGCGAGACCACCAGGGCCGUGACACCACCAGAGCCGGGACACCACCAGAGCUGGGACACCACCAGAGCUGCGAGACCACCAGAGCUGGGACACCACCAGAGCUGCCACACCACCAGAGCUGCGACACCAGCAGAGCCGCGACACCAGCAGAGCCGGGACACCAGCAGAGCCGGGACACCACCAGAGCCGUGACACCAGCAGAGCCGGGACACCACCAGGGCCGGGACACCAGCAGAGCCGGGACACCACCAGAGCCGUGACACCAGCAGAGCCGGGACACCACCAGGGCCGGGACACCACCAGAGCUGCGAGACCACCAGGGCCGGGACACCACCAGAGCCGGGACACCACCAGAGCUGGGACACCACCAGAGCUGCGAGACCACCAGAGCCGUGACACCACCAGAGCCGUGACACCAGCAGAGCUGGGACACCACCAGAGCUGUGAGACCACCAGAGCCGGGACACCACCAGAGCCGGGACACCACCAGAGCUGCGAGACCACCAGAGCCGUGACACCAGCAGAGCCGGGACACCACCAGAGCCGGGACACCACCAGAGCCGGGACACCACCAGAGCUCCGAGACCACCAGAGCUGCCACACCACCAGAGCUGUGACACCACCAGAGCUGUGACACCACCAGAGCCGGGACACCACCAGAGCCGGGACACCACCAGAGCUGCGAGACCACCAGAGCUGGGACACCACCAGAGCUGGGACACCACCAGAGCCGGGACACCACCAGAGCUCCGAGACCACCAGAGCUGCCACACCACCAGAGCUGUGACACCACCAGAGCCGGGACACCACCAGAGCCGGGACACCACCAGAGCCGGGACACCACCAGAGCUGUGACACUGUGGCUUCAGUAAAGCUGUUUCUUCUACCACUGGCUUGCCCUUGCAUUCUUUCCUGGGUGAAGCCAAAAACCCAGAGGGCUAAACUCCACUUUCGGGCUCGCCUGCCUGCAUCAUAACCAUCAGGCCUGGAGAGCCGGGUCUCUUGAGAGUAAACUGCCGUGAGAUUCUACAGGAACUCUGCCUCUCCUCUGGGCUGAGCUGUUCUGCCUCAGUUUCCUCACUAACAAAAUGGGGUGACAUCUUGAGGUGGCCCCUCUCGGUGCUGCCAGCCUCUCUGCUCCCCACUCUUUUUGGGCAGCCCUCAAGGCCCUCGUACAGCAUCUGG
rnacentral:lncRNA from 10 species